AGUUGUAUUGCUGUUGUUGUUCGCUUUAGACGCCAUUGUUGAUUUGUAUAUCAUCCAACAUGGCGUUGCACGCAUACGUCACACAGUUUUGUCACGUGUUUGCACACUAUCUAGUCAAUUUUCAGCAUUGUGAUCUUUCAUACCAUCACCAGGGUUUUCCAAUUCCCCAAUCUCAUUUACAUCGACACAAUGUCACUUGUUGAGCCAUACCCUUCCAUUACGUCAACCAGUGUCACUGAAACACAAAAGCUUUGCAAUCCUGAGCAAUCCGAACAGUAUUUCCUUCCUUGGCUUGUACUUCUUCCUCCCCAUCUGAGCUGUUUCAACACUAGCAAGGGGAAACUGUCUGAUACGAUCAUGGGAAAUCCUGUUCCGAGCCUUUGGACACUUGACAAACAGCAUUUGUUUAAGCAUUUAAUGACACAACAGGGAUACUCCUAUAGGAGCAGUGCAAGAAGCUAUAAAAGGUACGGUGCAUUACUUUGUCUCUGCUUCUAGACCUGCUCCUUUUAUGGUAGCCAACCUUCCUUCUGGUCUUAGCAGGCCAGUCGUCAGCUUCCUUUGUUUGUUUUCUGGUCAACCAAAUCCUUCCUCUCUGAAAUACGAGAGGUUACAAAAGACAUGCUUUCAUCUGAAACCUCCUGCAGCUUUACUUAAGUGUCCUUAAUAGAUACUACACAAUUACAUGUCUACUUUAGCACAAGAGUUUAGGACUCAUUCAGCUCCCAGGUAUUCAAAUUCACUAACAUACAUUUUUAUGAAUGUGGCCUCUCGCUGAAAUGAUGACAGGAUGGAGGCUAUUUAGUAGAAACAAAAUAACUUUUUUACUUUUAACACCCAAAGCUGCCUCAUAGAGUGCAGCUUCCAGAUUUAUCAGCAUGAUAGAAGACUAUGUUACUUUCAUUCACAUUCACUCAGCCAGCAACCCAAGAGCACCGCUCCUGCUGAGACAUAGAUUGGCCAUUUGUCAAUGACGACAAUCCCUGAAAUCCAUCUUUAACUAAGACCUGGAAGCUGUCUUUUCAUGUUGAGUUCAAAUAAGUAAAUAGCCUCAAAAACAAACGACAGGAAAAAAACACCAGGCAGGGUCACCUACACGGGAAACCAGAGAAUCUUGCAAAGGAUGAAACGGAGACAGCAAGACAAACCAACCCCUUUACGCGAUUCCUACAAGGAGCCGACGGCCCACGGAUGACUGAUUUACAGUAAUUGGGCUUCUCACCCGCUGGCUCCUUUCCACCAUUUAAAGAAACUUGAGCAUCUGACCGGUCCUUCCACCUUUGUCUGCUCUACCAAUCCCCAGAAACAUCUCUUUAUCCCUCUGUGUCAGCCCCAAAUAAAUUUAGCAGUGUACUCACAGCUACUUGUCUUGUUGAAAAGCUCUAAUAUAGUUACAUUUUAUCUAUAAAAUAAUUAAAACUUAUUGUAGUUAUCACUUACUGUAUAGCACGAAGCUCUUUUUUGAAAGAAAAACUGGCUUGUGAUCAGAAAUAUUAGAUAUCAGACUUUUCAAAGACUGACUUUUGUAGAAAUAAAACCUUAUUCUGUUCUAUUCCUAUAUUAUGUUAAAAAGACAAAAACAUUUGAAUGACUCAUGAAUCAGAUUUCCCGAAAUGUUAAACUAUUCCAUUAAGGUUUGGGAAAUAUUGCAGAUAUUUCCAGAUUACAAUUCUACAAACUCCAACACACUACAAGAUAAUGUAUCUACUGUCCAUAGUGACAUAAGCAUUUCUGCACCGACCAGUCAUUGUGGCCGUGACUUCAAGUUUUGUGUUGUGUUCCCAGACUUUGUGGUUCAUUUUGGGAGGUAGAGUUCAGACCAUCGGAUUCAAUGAUGACUUUGGCUGCCAGCCAGUACACUGAACUCACAUACAUUUACAUUCUGUGUAGUAGUGUGUGUGUGUGUGUGUGUGUGUGUGUGUGUGUGUGUGUGUGUGUGUGUGUGUUUUAGAAAGAGGACAGGGGGUAGGCGGCCGACCAGCAGCUUCCCUGGGAAAACACAAACUCCGAACAGUAGAAAUCACUGGAGUGCAGACUGAUUCGAGACCCAGAGCAGGACCCCGCAUUCCUCAGAAACCCUCCGCCUCAAACCCGUUGCCCCACUACCAAUGAGCAGGCGAAAGAGGGAGUGAUGGAAGACUGAGACAAAAGGCCUUCCUCAGCCCAUGAGCACGGCGCUGUGCUGUCAAACAGAAGUCGUGUGUAUUCAUCAAUCACAAAGGAAUGGCACACACAGGAGAGUGUAUGGUGAGGACACUCAAGUCAUCAGGAGUGGAAAUCUUAAAAGAGCCAAGUUCAAUGGGCUGGCUUAUAGUGAAGUGUAAUACUUUAUUUUUGUGAAUGACUAAUUGUAUUUAAAGAAAUGGUUUUAUACACUUUCUUGCCGAUGAGAAGAUAAACACCAGUCUAUAGUAUAGAGCUACAACCAGAAGCUGGUUAGUUUGGUGAUACAUUACUUGUUUAUAAGUUACCCAGUAUGUGUGCAACUGCUAAUAUCAUUUUUGUUAGUGAUUAAUUGGGUUUGCUUGUCAGGUUAAUAGCUGGAGGUUUUCUCAUGUCAGCAGGUUGUGAAACGUGCUCUGAUAACAUGUUUGGGGCUUUACAGUCUCUGGGAACUCUGAGGGGGAGGGGAUGUUGCUUCAAUUUCCCUUUUUCAGUCACAUUCCCAAAACAAUUGCCCCCUGAUAUUCCCAAAAGCCCUGUCCAGGAUGUAUCAUAUUAAAUAAAGGGUGAAAGGGGGACAUUCUUGCACAUUUUAAGAGGGUUUUUGAAAAAAAAUGGGUUUCUCCAAAUGUUAAACUAUAGGCCCAAAUACUGUGUACCAUGCCCAAGUCACACAGCCGCCUUGAAGAUUUGGUUAUAAUUCAAAGUGGCAGAACAAUGUAGUUGUUUUGAGAACAGCUAGUAAUUUGCUAUUGCUUCAUACCAUAAGGACUGCGCUUCACCCCAAAGGAAAUGAAAACAUCAACACUGUGGUUUUACACCCUUAUUUAUGUUCAUAAAAAAUCUCUUUUUAAAAGCA